UUAAUUAUGUUAUUAUUAUUUCUUGUUUAAUAAAAUUAUUUUUUGUUUUAUUAAUUUCUUAUGAAUAAAUAUUUAUUUAUUAUAGUUUAAUAGUAGGGUAGCUGAAAUUUUGAGAUAUUUUUUAUUUUUUGAAAAGAAGAGUUUAUUUUUUGUACCUUGUGUAUCAGGGUUGAUUUAUUAUAAGUUAUUUAUUUAAUUUUCUCGAAUUAGGAAGAGCUAAUUAGUUAUUUAUUUGAUUGUUUUAUAAAUCUUUAUAAUAAUUUUUUGGAAAUGAAAUGUUAAUCGUUUUCUAUAUAUCUAGUUUUUUAAGAAAAGAAUUUAAUUCUAUCAUUUUUUGGCAUAAGUUUUAUUUUAAGCUUUAUGUUUUUAUUUAAUGAUAAAUAUUUAAUGGGAUGAGCUUUUAAAUAUAAUUUUAUAAAAUUUUUUGUUGUUGUUUGUUUAGUAUAAUUAGAAUUGUUAAUCUUUAAUAUAAUUUUAUAGUUGUGUUAGGUUUAUUAAUACUUAUUUAUAUAUUUUUUAAGUUUUUUAUUAAAAUUUAAUGUGGAAUUUUUUACUUUAGUAAUAAUGAUUAAAUUAGUAAAUUUUUAUGUAAUAUUUGUAGGUUGUAAUUGAAAGGUCUAGGAAAGGAAUUCGGCAAGAAUUAGGUUUUUCGCCUGUUUAUUAAAAACAUGUCUUUUUGAUAAUAAUUUAAGGUUUAAUCUGCUCAAUGAAGUUUUAAAUUGCCGCGGUAUUAUGACCGUGCAAAGGUAGCAUAAUAAUUAGUUUCUUUAUUGGAAGCUGGAAUGAAUGAUUGGACGAGAAAACUACUGUCUCUUUUGGAUUUGUUUUUGAAUUUAACUUUUGAGUUAAAAGGCUUAAAUUUAUAUUAAAGACGAGAAGACCCUAUAGAGUUUUAUAUAAUUAAUUUUUAAGACUUUUAGAAUAUUUAUGUUUUAAAUUUUUAAUUUUAUUUGGUUGGGGUGACUAAAAGAUUAAUUAAACUCUUUUAAGUUUAAAUCAUUUAUUUAUGAUUUAUAAAUCUGAUUUUUUCAAGUUUAAUAUAAAUUACCUUAGGGAUAACAGCGUAAUUUUCUUUUAUAGUUCUUAUUGAAAAGGAAGUUUGCGACCUCGAUGUUGGAUUAAAAUGAAUUAUUGGUGCAGAAGCUUAAUAAUUAAGUCUGUUCGACUUUUAAAAUUUUACAUGAUCUGAGUUUAAACCGGUGUGAGCCAGGUUGGUUUCUAUCUUUAUUAUUUUAUGAUAUUUUAGUACGAAAGGACCAAGUAUUUAAUAUAAUUAUUUUUGUUUUGAAUUCUAUU
rnacentral:rRNA from 1 species